AUGCGUAUGUUGAGAUGGAUGUGUGGCCACACGAGGAAGGAUCGAGUCCGGAAUGAUGAUAUACGAGAUAGAGUUGGGGUAGCACCAAUUGAGGAGAAGCUUGUCCAACAUCGUUUGAGAUGGUUUGGGCAUAUUCAGCGCAGGCCUCCAGAAGCUCCAGUGCAUAGCGGACGGCUAAAGCGUGCGGAGAAUGUCAAGAGAGGGCGGGGUCGACCGAUUUUGACUUGGGAGGAGUCCGUUAAGAGAGACCUGAAGGAUUGGAGUAUCGACAAAGAGCUAGCUAUGGACAGGGGUGCGUGGAAGCUUGCUAUCCAUGUGCCAGAGCCAUGA
rnacentral:rRNA from 1 species